AGCACCCUCCUUUUUUCACACUUUUUUCUAAAAACUCCGAGCCAGAGCACACGAAACAGAAAUUUGUACUCAUGGAAUGUAGGGCGUGUUUCAAAGGGUUUAUGAAGAAUUAGAAGGGUAAUGAGGUGUUGGUUGUCUGUUUUGAAUUUGCGGGAAGGUAAUUGAGAAAUUAAGCUAUAGAUGAAGCAGAUGGAUUCGAUCUGAGAUUUGAGAAUCAAGGAAUUGUUGGUAGUGAUGUUUCUGAGGUAAUUCAGUUCUAUGAUUUGAUGGAGUUGGUGAUUCAGAAAAUAAUCAACCAAGAAGGAAAUCACUAAUUCGUCUUUGCAGGGAAUUAGGGUUGGGACAUCAAGUCUAUCCAGACUUUCAUUGUAGAAAACUAAAUCCGGGAUUUCUAAGGUUAUUGAUUCGGGAAAUGAUGCAGAACCAGAUGAUGUUGAGAUGAAAGGACCUGAACUUAAUGCCAAAGAUGCCAAAUGAUUCGAAACUCCCUGGAAACUAUUGAGAAAAUUAUUGCUGCUAAUGUGCUUGAUAUAAUGGUUCAAUGAGGAUGUAAGCUUGUGGGUUGAUUUAAAUGUGGUUUGUGUUUUGUUUUUCAUGGAUGAAAAUAGGUGGUCAGUUGGAGAAACUGAAUUUAAAGUUUAUUUGAGGAAAACUGGAUUGGGAUUAACAGGGAAGAAAAAAGUUCUUAUGGAUCGAAUUAAGGAACAUCUUGGGAUCAUAGAUGGUGGCGGAGAACAGAAGUAUCUGGUAUCUAGCUUUGUGUACAACUGCAAAGAGAAUUUCUUGCUAUGAUACAGUAAUCAUUGAAGCCGAGAUUAUUGUUCGUAAGGUUGUGGAUUAUUGGAGUUAUAAUUCAAAGAAAGAAACAUGCUUUGCUGGUGUUAAGAAUCAGGGUGCAACAUGAACUCUCUACUUCAGAAAGCAUGAUGUACAAGAACUCAAUAGGGUUUUUUUCUGAAAAGCUCGAGGAUAAAAUGAAAGGGGGCUGUUGUGGAGGGUACUAUCCAGCAAUUUUUGAAGGACACAAAAUGAACCAUAUUGAGUGCAUCAAUGUGGACAACAAAUCUACGAGAAAGGAGUCAUUUUAUGGUAUUAAUAACUAUUUCAGUUUAUGUGUGCUUGACUAUAAUGCCGGAAAUACAGCCAUGAAGCUGCUGCUACUGUUAUUGAGGAACCGUAAUGGAUGAAAGAGAUUAGGACAGGGAUUUCUAAGCUGAAACGAAGAAGAUAGAAGAUUUGUGAAGUUUUUGAGUGACCAUCUAUUUGAGAUGAAUGGAAGGAUAUUAACAAGCUCUUACGAGUCGGUGAUUAGAUCAAUGGAAGUGUACCUAAAGUGGGAGGUGUCAAAGCUGAUGGAAUGGAAGUGUUUCCUUCUUCCUAAGCUUUUGGAUUUAUUUGCUAUCUUUCAUUCAAAAUCCUUUCACUUUUUUUUCAGUUUUUUUUUCUUUUCUACAUAUUGAUCCAUGGUGUAUAUUGGAGGCUCUCUUUUAAAGGCUAUGGGAUGAAUCAUCAGCGAAAUGUACCUUCUGUAAUGUGAUUUUGUGUUGUAAUUAGGAAGUGAGAAAUUUCAAUUCUUCCUUCUUUUCCCUA